AGGACGAACGCUGGCGGCGUGCUUAACACAUGCAAGUGGAGCGACGAACCAGGCUUCGGCCUGGGGCAGAGCCGCGAACGGGUGAGUAACACGUGGGUAACCUGCCUCGAUGACCGGGACAACCCGAGGAAACCCGGGCUGAUACCGGAUGUGCUCCUUCACAUCAGUGAAGACAGGAAAGGAAGCUUCGGCCUCCGCAUCGAGAUGGGCCCGCGGCCCAUUAGCUUGUUGGUGAGGUAACGGCUCACCAAGGCUGCGAUGGGUAGCUGGUCUGAGAGGACGAUCAGCCACACUGGGACUGAGACACGGCCCAGACUCCUACGGGAGCAG
rnacentral:rRNA from 1 species